rnacentral:misc_RNA from 1 species
CUGAGUGAUUUGGUGUACACCUUUCCCUUCUAGGGGAGGUGUCCGCCGGUUACCCGCCCUUAUGUCAUCUGCACGGACCCGCUUUUUCUGGCGACCCCCCAGGGUCCCAGAAGGGUGGGGACGAGAAUCUAUUUCCGCCGAGGUGGUGUGUCUCUCGCAAGAAAGGCACAUCCGCGGCGGGCCCAUAGCCUUUUUACUCUUUAUGAGAAUUUGAAGUCUGAAUAAAAAAUAAAUUGAAGCA